rnacentral:rRNA from 1 species
AUACGUAGGGGGCGAGCGUUGUCCGGAAUUACUGGGCGUAAAGGGCGCGCAGGCGGCCUGAUAAGUCACUCGUGAAAAGCGUAGGCUCAACCUAUGCACUGCGGGUGAAACUGUGAGGCUUGAGUGCAGUAGAGGGAAGCGGAAUUCCUAGUGUAGCGGUGAAAUGCGUAGAUAUUAGGAAGAACACCAGUGGCGAAGGCGGCUUUCUGGGCUGUAACUGACGCUGAGGCGCGAAAGCUGGGGGAGCGAACGGGAUUAGAUACCCCGGUAGUCCCAGCCGUAAACGAUGAUCACUAGGUGUAGGAGGUAUCGACCCCUUCUGUGCCGAAGCAAACGCAUUAAGUGAUCCGCCUGGGGAGUACGUCCGCAAGGAUGAA